GACGAACGCUGGCGGCGUGCUUAACACAUGCAAGUCGAACGGAAAGGCCCUGCUUUUGUGGGGUGCUCGAGUGGCGAACGGGUGAGUAACACGUGAGUAACCUGCCCUUGACUUUGGGAUAACUUCAGGAAACUGGGGCUAAUACCGGAUAGGAUCUCCUGCUGCAUGGUGGGGGUUGGAAAGUUUCGGCGGUUGGGGAUGGACUCGCGGCUUAUCAGCUUGUUGGUGGGGGAGUGGCUUACCAAGGCUUUGACGGGUAGCCGGCCUGAGAGGGUGACCGGCCACAUUGGGACUGAGAUACGGACCAGACUCCUACGGGAGGCAGCAGUGGGGAAUAUUGCACAAUGGGCGGAAGCCUGAUGCAGCAACGCCGCGUGCGGGAUGACGGCCUUCGGGUUGUAAACCGCUUUCGCCUGUGACGAAGCGGGAGUGACGGUAAUGGGUAAAGAAGCACCGGCUAACUACGUG
rnacentral:rRNA from 1 species